UAAUACGUGGGGUGCAAGCGUUGUUCGGAAUUACUGGGCGUAAAGCGCGUGUAGGCGGCUUAUUAUGUCAGGUGUGAAAGCCCUCGGCCUAACCGAGGAAGUGCGCCUGAAACUGAUAAGCUUGAGUACGAGAGAGGAGGACGGAAUUCCCAGUGUAGAGGUGAAAUUCGUAGAUAUUGGGAGGAACACCGGCGGCGAAAGCGGUUCUCUGGAUCGAUACUGACGCUAAGACGCGAAAGCGUGGGGAGCAAACAGGAUUAGAUACCCUGGUAGUCCACGCCGUAAACGAUGGAUAUUAGUUGUUGCGGGCUUAACCCUCGCAGUGACGACGCUAACGCAUUAAAUAUCCCGCCUGGGGAGUACGGCCGCAAGGUUA
rnacentral:rRNA from 1 species